rnacentral:rRNA from 1 species
AGGAUAAACGCUGGCGGCGUGCCUAACACAUGCAAGUCGAACGUCUCUUCUUUCGGGAAGAGGAGUGGCGGACGGGUGAGGAACACGUGGGAACCUGCCCUACAGUGAGGAAUACCGGCGAGAAAUCGCCGACAAGACCGCAUAGCCCUCUCUGGUGAGAGCCAGAGAAGGAAAGCUUCGCAAGAGGCGCUGGAGGAGGGGCCUGCGUCCGAUUAGCUAGUUGGUGGGGUAAGAGCCUACCAAGGCGUCGAUCGGUAGCUGGUCUGAGAGGACGAUCAGCCACACUGGGAUUGAGAACGGCCCAGACUCCUACGGGGGGCAGCAGUGAGGAAUUUUCGGCAAUGGGGGAAACCCUGACCGAGCAACGCCGCGUGCAGGAAGACGGCCUUCGGGUUGUAAACUGCUUUUCUUUGGGACGAGCAAGGACGGUACCAGAGGAAUCAGCCCCGGCUCACUACGUGCCAGCAGCCGC